rnacentral:lncRNA from 1 species
GUCUGAUGUUGGUGUCGAUGCAAGCCAAGGGCCAAGAAGGGUUUCUCAUGAUGAUGAAAUGUUGAAGAAUUGAAGCAAAAUCCAGCCUUAAUUCUCUUGCAUGUGUAGAGAUUCUACAUCAAAAAGCUAUAUGAAACAUGUGGAACGUGUCAAGGAGAGCUCAAGCAUAGGAGGAUAACGGGUCAAGAUAAGGCAAGGUGACAAAUACACUUAUUGGAGUACUCAAGGUUAUGAAUGUCGGACUUUCGAAGUGUUGAUAUAAUAAUGAAACGGUUGAAUGUUGAAAGGAUAAUCGGAUUGAAGUAACUUAUGCGGUUAGAAUAUGCUAUGGACGUUUUAGUUUAUACAACAUUUUAUGUUUGGUCGUCAUCAUCUACCAACGGGUAAAUCCUCAAUUCAGGCGACUUGGAGAAUCGGAGCGAGCGCGUGUUCAUGUUAUGUCAUACCAAACGCUUCCGCUAGCCUGUUCAAAUGUUUUUAGUCCAAAAUUUGUUGUUUUGGUUCUUAGUAGUAUUUUGUCGAAUGAAUCGUAGAAUUGUAUCUAGUUUGUUUAUGUUUAAAACAGGGGUAUGCUCGUUUUAUGGACGGGUCAUGCCCGAUUUUUGUUAAAUUAUAGUAUGAUAAUAUCACAUUUAGGAAGAUGAAAUUUUGGGCGUA